GACAGAGGGUGCUAGCGUUGUUCGGAAUUACUGGGCGUAAAGGGCGCGUAGGCGGCCAUCUAAGUCAGACGUGAAAUCCCCCGGCUUAACCUGGGAACUGCGUCUGAUACUGGAAGGCUUGAGUAUGGGAGAGGGAUGUAGAAUUCCAGGUGUAGCGGUGAAAUGCGUAGAUAUCUGGAGGAAUACCGGUGGCGAAGGCGGCAUCCUGGACCAUUACUGACGCUGAGGCGCGAAAGCUAGGGGAGCAAACGGG
rnacentral:rRNA from 1 species